rnacentral:rRNA from 1 species
GGGAAUCUACCCAUCUCUGCGGAAUAGCUCUGGGAAACUGGAAUUAAUACCGCAUACGCCCUACGCGGGAAAGAUUUAUCGGGGAUGGAUGAGCCCGCGUUGGAUUAGCUAGUUGGUGGGGUAAAGGCCUACCAAGGCGACGAUCCAUAGCUGGUCUGAGAGGAUGAUCAGCCACAUUGGGACUGAGACACGGCCCAAACUCCUACGGGAGGCAGCAGUGGGGAAUAUUGGACAAUGGGCGCAAGCCUGAUCCAGCCAUGCCGCGUGAGUGAUGAAGGCCUUAGGGUUGUAAAGCUCUUUCACCGGUGAAGAUAAUGACGGUAACCGGAGAAGAAGCCCCGGCUAACUUCGUGCCAGCAGCCGCGGUAAUACGAAGGGGGCUAGCGUUGUUCGGAAUUACUGGGCGUAAAGCGCACGUAGGCGGAUAUUUAAGUCAGGGGUGAAAUCCCAGAGCUCAACUCUGGAACUGCCUUUGAUACUGGGUAUCUUGAGUAUGGAAGAGGUAAGUGGAAUUGCGAGU